UUUUCCAUUAAUGAUGAUGUUUGUGUUGUUAUAGGUGUGAACGAUGCGUCUCCGGAGGGAUGCUGGGGAGGCGGGGCAAACCACGUUGUUGCCCCCAACUGAAAACGUGGAGCCGGAAACCACCACCACGGAAAAUACAAUGGAUGAGGUGGAGACAACUGUGACGGAGGGACUUGGCGGAGGCGGUGGUGAGUCACCUCCACGAUCUCUCUCUCUCUCUCUCUCUCUCUCUCUCUCUCUCUCUCUCUUGUAUUCAUCGUGCAUGUUCUCAGAAUGAAUGGAUGCAACUCUUUGCUCUCCAGGGCAGACUCCGUCCCCGUUGAUUAAUCUUAUAAAGGAAGGUCAUGAACAUCUUAGAAGAAAAUAUCAAUCCAGACAAGUCAGAAAAUCACGUCCCACCAGUAAGGAAAUCUUGGUCAAAAUCAUGAAAUUGACAACUACCAGCAUUAUGCUUGCCCUUUUUAUUUUUUUUCUUCGUUAGGACGUCGCAUUAUCUAUUUAUCAUGUUGAAGGCUAAAAAAAUGUUUCAUUUAUUUCUAUUUUCCUUGUCUAUUCAUUACUUGUGUGAAUUGUUCACUCUUCCAAUAAUAAGGAUAUGAAUUGGUUGGAAUUUAACAAGAGAAGAAACUCAGCCAAACUCAGUUCGAUCUUCCAAUGAUGUAUGAGCAUUACCUUUCUCAGGAGGUGCUACGUUUCUGGCUUGUGAUAACAGUGCAAGAGAUCUAACGAUUUUUGAUGCUGAUAUUGGAAAUGUAAUCCUUAAAAGUUAAUGAUUCAUCGUAUGUAAUUCCAAGAAACUUAAUUUUGUAAACUCUGUUGAUUAUUCGGUUAUUUAAUAUUAAAUUAGACAUAUUAUUUACUUUUUUAGUCGUAAAGACCACAAGUUUGUCUUGUUUACAUUUAUAGUUAAUCUAUUUGCUGUGCACCAUUGAGAAACAUUUUUAAUAUCUGUAUUAAGAGAGGCUAAUAGAUUAUAUGGAUUUGGGGCAGUGAGGUAAAAAAUAGAGUCAUCUGCAAGUAGAAUAGUAUUGAGCUUAUCUGAGGCAUUUGGUAGAUCAUUGAUAUAUAUCAAGAACAAUAUUGGUCCUAAAAUACUACCCUGAGGUACACCCUGGGUGAUUAGGCGUUUACUUGAUUGAUGUUGUUUUAUAUUGGUUGAUUGUGAUCUGUCACUAAGGUAACUCUAAAGCCAUGCAUCCUCUAUUUCCAUAAAAAUAUAAUUCAUCAAGUAGUAUUUUGUGAUUAACGGUGUCAAAGGCUUUGCUUAAAUUCAUGAAUAGUGCAAUUACUGAAUUUUUGUUAUCAAGUUCAGAAAAGGCGAAUGAAGAAAAUUUGUUGAGAGCAUCAAAGUGCUUAGACCUUUUCUAAAACCAUAUUGACAUGAGGUUAAUAUAUGUUCUUUGUCAAGAUAAUAAAAA